rnacentral:rRNA from 1 species
UUCUGGUUGAUCCCGCCGGAGGUCACUGCUAUUGGGAUUCGACUAAGCCAUGCGAGUCGAGAGGGUUCGGCCCUCGGCUGACGGCUCAGUAACACGUGGAUAAUCUGCCCUAAGGUGGAGGAUAACCUCGGGAAACUGAGAAUAAUACUCCAUAAGUCUAGGAUGCUGGAAUGCACUUAGGCUAAAAACUUCGGUGCCUUAGGAUGAGUCUGCGGACUAUCAGGUUGUAGUCAGGGUAAAGACCUGACUAGCCUACAACGGAUACGGGUUGUGAGAGCAAUAACCCGGAGAUGAUAUCUGAGACACGAUAUCAGGCCCUACGGGGCGCAGCAGGCGCGAAAACUUCGCACUGCGCGAAAGCGCGACGAGGGAAUCCCAAGUGUAUGCACGUAAGUGUAUACUGUUUCUCUGUCUAAAAAGCAGAGAGAGUAAGAGCUGGGUAAGACGGGUGCCAGCCGCCGCGGUAA